GAACCCUUGGCGCAGCGGUAGCGCGUGAGAUUCCAGCUUCAGGUGGUUCCUCAAGGUCAUCCGUUCAAAUCGGGUAGGGUUCA